CAGCAGCCGCGGUAAUACGUAGGGUGCAAGCGUUAAUCGGAAUUACUGGGCGUAAAGCGUGCGCAGGCGGUUUUGUAAGACAGAGGUGAAAUCCCCGGGCUCAACCUGGUAACUGCCUCUGUGACUGCAAGGCUAGAGUACGGCAGAGGGGGAUGGAAUUCCGCGUGUAGCAGUGAAAUGCGUAGAUAUGCGGAGGAACACCGAUGGCGAAGGCAAUCCCCUGGGCCUGUACUGACGCUCAUGCACGAAAGCGUGGGGAGCAAACAGGAUUAGAUACCCGUGUAGUCCCUGUCUCUUAUAC
rnacentral:rRNA from 1 species